AGGACAUCUACGAGGACAGAGAGAGUUUCCCAGCAUGCCUCAGGUAUGGAGGUGAAGGUGUAUGAUGGGGUGGAGUCUGUCCUGCUGCCCUGUCAGUUACCAGCUGAUGUUUCCAGUGACUUCUUAGCAGCAGUGUGGGACCGUGAGGAGCUCAAGGACCCAACAGUCCACGUGCGUCUGCAGAGUGGUGAUGAUUUUAAAGAUCAGAACGUUCGUUACACCAACCGAACAUCACUGAGAGCCGACGCUCUGCAGACUGGAGACCUCAGCCUCACUCUGAGGAACCCCACAGUCUCUGACAGUGGAAACUACACCUGCAACACCCGAGUAUUUAGAGGAAAUCAGAGCCAGAUCGAUAUCCAACUGAAGGUGACAGAACCUCCUGCAGUCUGGCCCAUAGUUCUCUCAGUUGUCCUGGUUUCUGUGGUUCUCCUGGCUGCUGGCUUUGGUGUCUUCAUGUAUCAUAGAUAUAAAAUGAUGAAGAGCAGAAAAGUCUAUCCAGUGGAGAUGGUUGAGGUGAAACAGGGGGAGGAGUCUGUCCAGCUGUGCUU
ensembl:lncRNA